rnacentral:rRNA from 1 species
UACGAAGGGGGCUAGCGUUGCUCGGAAUUACUGGGCGUAAAGCGCACGUAGGCGGCUUCUUAAGUCGGUGGUGAAAUCCUGGAGCUCAACUCCAGAACUGCCUUCGAUACUGGGAAGCUCGAGUCCGGGAGAGGUGAGUGGAACUGCGAGUGUAGAGGUGAAAUUCGUAGAUAUUCGCAAGAACACCAGUGGCGAAGGCGGCUCACUGGCCCGGUACUGACGCUGAGGUGCGAAAGCGUGGGGAGCAGACAGG